AGAUAUACUAUGAAAAUAUAAGUAACAAAGAACCUAAUGAUACUUAGCUAAUAUUAUAAAUAUUAUUAUCCUAUCAUAUAGAUUUGGUCAAACUGUUUUGACUCUCUAAGAUUCUUACAGUGACUUACAAUUUUGGGAUGAAGGGAGUAUAUAGCUAAGUAGUUGGGGCCGAGGCCGAGAAGAAAUGGACUUCGCCUUUUUUUUUAAGAUACUAGUACUAUGGAACCGGGCCUCUCUAGCCUGAAUAUGCUGCGAACCAGUCCAGCUCUCUCCGAACACUAGUUUCCCAAGGCCCAUUUCUCUUCAAAUUCAACUGGCCGUCGCCAAUUCGCCAUGGGCGCAUGGGAGGGACCACCAGUCCACCAGGUCCAGUAAGCAAGCGCGCGAACCGGAAGCCCGGCGACGCCGGGAGCGCCCCAUGCGCGGGCGGCGGGAGCACUCCUCCUCGGGGGCUCGGGGUUCCGCCUCCGCCGCGACGGAGAGGAGUGGGAAGCGGACGCCUCGGGCUGCGCGUCGCCUUCCCUAGCGCUCCCUCGCCGCGCUCGCGGCCUCCUCCCCGUAUCUUCUCGAUCUGUGGACCUAUGUCAUCCUCAGGCCCCGUGCCAACGUUCCUCAAGCUCUUCUCUGCUUUGCUUGGCGGCCACUGCUGAUCUGCUGCCUCCAUGGCAUCAUCCUUGGCAUCCUCGGAACUAACUUCAGGGCUCAAGCACUAUUCUUGUCUUCCUUCCUGUGCAUGCUUGUGGUCGUGCCGAGGCUCAGUGAGACGAAUUCAGGCUCCUCGAUGCCGGUGGGCAUGAUGGUCGAGGGGUCAGCAAGCUUCUUGGCUUGUCCUUUUUGAAGAACG